rnacentral:rRNA from 1 species
AUUGAACGCUGGCGGCAGGCCUAACACAUGCAAGUCGAGCGGAUGAAGGGAGCUUGCUCCUGGAUUCAGCGGCGGACGGGUGAGUAAUGCCUAGGAAUCUGACCGGUAGUGGGGGAUAACGUAAGGAAACGGGCGCUAAUACCGCGUACGUCCUGAGGGAGAAAGUGGGGGAUCUUCGGACCUCACGCUAUUUGAUGAGACUAGGACGGAUUAGCUAGUUGGUGGGGUAAAGGCCUACCAAGGCGACGAUCCGUAACUGGUCUGAGAGGAUGAUCAGUCACACUGGAACUGAGACACGGUCCAGACUCCUACGGGAGGCAGCAGUGGGGAAUAUUGGACAAUGGGCGAAAGCCUGAUCCAGCCAUGCCGCGUGUGUGAAGAAGGUCUUCGGAUUGUAAAGCACUUUAAGUUGGGAGGAAGGGCAGUAAGUUAAUACCUUGCUGUUUUGACGGUACCAACAGAAUAAGCACCGGCUAACUUCGUG